AUGUGGACCUGUCUUCGUCAGCGCUAUGAGCCCUCUGGUGAUGCCUUAUACCUUUCUGUGGUUCGUCAGGAGCAUGCUCUUCAGCAGGGUGACUCUACUGUUGAUGACUUUUAUGCACAGAGUUCUGCUAUCUGGCGCCAGCUUGAUUCUCUCCGCAGUGCUGGUUGUUGUACUUGCCCCUGCUGCUAGGCUGUCCAGGCCGAUUUGGAGUUCCAUCGCGUCUACGAGUUCUUGUCUCGGCUCCGUAAGGAGUUUGAGCCCCAGCGUGCUCAGUUGCUUGCUCGUGGCCGUAUUUCUCUCAUGGAGGCGCUUUCAGAGAUUCGUGCUGAGGAGACUCGCCUACGUGGUGCUGGUUUGCUGGAGGUUCCCUCUGUGCUCACUACUCGGGUUUCUUCCACUCCACCUGCACCGUCCCAUUCUCGCUCGAGUGCUCCGCCGCUCUUGCCCACUCCUUCUGGAGGCUCAGGUCGCCCCCGUUCACAUUGUGACUACUGCAAGAAUGAUGGUCAUAUUGAGUCCCAGUGCUACACCAAGUGGAAACACCUGCGCAAGGCGCGAUCAUCAGGGACUGCGUCAUCUCCCUCGCCAGCCUCAUCC
rnacentral:rRNA from 1 species